UACGGAGGAUCCGAGCGUUAUCCGGAUUUAUUGGGUUUAAAGGGUGCGUAGGUGGCCUGUUAAGUCAGGGGUGAAAGACGGUAGCUCAACUAUCGCAGUGCCCUUGAUACUGAUGGGCUUGAAUGAACUAGAGGUAGGCGGAAUGUGACAAGUAGCGGUGAAAUGCAUAGAUAUGUCACAGAACACCAAUUGCGAAGGCAGCUCACUAUGGUUUUAUUGACACUGAGGCACGAAAGCGUGGGGAUCAAACAGG
rnacentral:rRNA from 1 species